rnacentral:rRNA from 1 species
UGGGCGUAAGCGCCGCAGGCGGUCUGUCUAGUCGGAUGUGAAAUCCCCGGGCUCAACCUGGGAACUGCAUUCGAAACUGGCAGGCUAGAGUCUUGUAGAGGGGGGUAGAAUUCCAGGUGUAGCGGUGAAAUGCGUAGAGAUCUGGAGGAAUACCGGUGGCGAAGGCGGCCCCCUGGACAGAGACUGACGCUCAGGUGCGAAAGCGUGGGGAGCAAACAGGAUUAGAUACCCUGGUAGUCCACGCCGUAAACGAUGUCGACUUGGAGGUUGUGCCCUUGAGGCGUGGCUUCCGGAGCUAACGCGUUAAGUCGACCGCCUGGGGAGUACGGCCGCAAGGGUAAAACUCCAAUGAAUUGACGGGGGCCCGCACAAGCGGUGGAGCAUGUGGUUUAAUUCGAUGCAACGCGAAGAACCUUACCUACUCUUGACAUCCAGAGAACUUUCCAGAGAUGCAUUGGUGCCUUCUGGAACUCUGAGACGGGUGCUGCAUGGCUGUCGUCAGCUCGUGUUGU